CUCCCAUUUUAUCGCUAUCCCUAAUCUAAACCCAAUCCCUAAUCGAUUUUCAAACCCAUGAACAGAGAUUUUGAUGAAAUCGAUUCCAACCCAAAUCGAUUUCAUCGCUUCAAACAUAUUAUGAGAUAGAUUUUGAUUUUGAUUUCUAUCUUAUCCCUAAAGCCAAUUCGACUUUCUCGCCAUCCCUAAUCUCUCCUAUCCGUAAAACCGAUUGAUAUUUAUAAGGAUGAGAUCUGGAGUUGGAUGAAAAGAGAUUUCGAUUUAUGUUUUCUGUUUGCAGUUCGAGAAUUUGCUACUAUCAGUAUAGGGAUUUUGAGGUCUAAGAGUAACUCAGACUAUUUAGUCGGCUGCAGCUCACCUGGAAAGCCAAUAGCCCAAAUGUACGACUUUAGAUGCAAUUCCAUUUCAGGUGGUGUUUAUUUGAAGUGUCUAAGAGUAACUCGGACGAUUUAGGCGGUUGGAGCUCACCUGAAAAGCCAAUAGCGCCAAAGGUUUUCAAUGCUCAUACUAUUUUAAUCUAAAUGCCUUGAAAACAACCAAGGGGCCGUUUACCUAAACACUUACCCGCUAAAUCGUUCAUCCAUUUCAUCUUACUUGUCAUCGUUAGAGGUUCUUCUAGCAAUUCCUCUGCACCCCAGUUCAAGAACUUGCUGGUUUGCUACUAUUGGUGGUUGAUUUCGACCCACAGUUGAAGUUGAAGGAAGCGAUUAUUCAGAUAAUGCAAUUUCAAAUAACCACAUAUUCAAUUGCUUAACUGACUCGAACUCCAUCUGCAUAGUAAUGACAUCUUAUCUGAAAAUUAGAACCAAAACUAAACAAAAUCUUCAUAUCCAACGAUUAAUAGGUUGACUCCAUAUGAACCAACCUUUCUUUAACCUUAUGUCUGCAAACAUGAAUAAAUCUUUGAGUUGAAUAUGAAUAUGGAAAACAGAACAUAUUUACAUUCAUGACUUAAACCACUUGGAUAAAAUUGAAAUUUUUAUUAAAAUAACAGAAUGUUUACAACCUAAGGUGGGACUCCCACCAACAAGCAUGUCCACUCAACCAUCAGGACAGGCCCCAGGGUUAAGAUGAACUGCACUACUAUACAAACCAAAAAACCAAAACUAAAACAAAAAGUGAACAACAGCCAUGAUAAAGUUCUUCACAUCUAACUCUAUUCACUUCCUGCCUUUGACACACAGCCAUGAUAAAGUUUACCGUUGAAAGCUGCAACCUGUUUUCCAUCCAAAAAACCAGAUGUAAGUAAAUAUAGUAAGGUUUCAGGUCCAUCAAUGGUUCAUAUUUAACUUAAAGCUAUUAACAAGGAAACAUAUACAUCAAUUUAUAAUUUAUAACAUAUAUAUUAUAUGCACUUUAUAAACGAUCUGAUACAUACUAAUCCUGGUCACUUUCUCUACUAAUUAAGAUCUCUAAAUUAAGAUAUGAGUCAGCUUAUUUGUGACAGUGAUCUAAUGUUUCACAUAACUCCAUAACCAUUCCCUGCUUAAGUACAUAGUGAUGUAAUGUUUCACAUAAGGC